rnacentral:rRNA from 1 species
CCUUGAAAUACCACCCUUUAAUGUUUGAUGUUCUAACGUGGACCCGUGAUCCGGGUUGCGGACAGUGUCUGGUGGGUAGUUUGACUGGGGCGGUCUCCUCCUAAAGAGUAACGGAGGAGCACGAAGGUUGGCUAAUCCUGGUCGGACAUCAGGAGGUUAGUGCAAUGGCAUAAGCCAGCUUGACUGCGAGCGUGACGGCGCGAGCAGGUGCGAAAGCAGGUCAUAGUGAUCCGGUGGUUCUGAAUGGAAGGGCCAUCGCUCAACGGAUAAAAGGUACUCCGGGGAUAACAGGCUGAUACCGCCCAAGAGUUCAUAUCGACGGCGGUGUUUGGCACCUCGAUGUCGGCUCAUCACAUCCUGGGGCUGAAGUAGGUCCCAAGGGUAUGGCUGUUCGCCAUUUAAAGUGGUACGCGAGCUGGGUUUAGAACGUCGUGAGACAGUUCGGUCCCUAUCUGCCGUGGGCGCUGGAGAACUGAGGGGGGCUGCUCCUAGUACGAGAGGACCGGAGUGGACGCAUCACUGGUGUUCGGGUUGUCAUGCCAAUGGCACUGCCCGGUAGCUAAAUGCGGAAGAGAUAAGUGCUGAAAGCAUCUAAGCACGAAACUUGCCCCGAGAUGAGUUCUCCCUGACCCUUUAAGGGUCCUGAAGGAACGUUGAAGACGACGACGUUGAUAGGCCGGGUGUGUAAGCGCAGCGAUGCGUUGAGCUAACCGGUACUAAUGAACCGUGAGGCUUAACCUUACAACGCCGAAG